GAUGAACGCUGGCGGCGUGCUUAACACAUGCAAGUCGAACGGUGAAGCCAAGCUUGCUUGGUGGAUCAGUGGCGAACGGGUGAGUAACACGUGAGCAACCUGCCCUGGACUCUGGGAUAAGCGCUGGAAACGGCGUCUAAUACUGGAUAUGAGCCUUCAUCGCAUGGUGGGGGUUGGAAAGAUUUUUUGGUCUGGGAUGGGCUCGCGGCCUAUCAGCUUGUUGGUGAGGUAAUGGCUCACCAAGGCGUCGACGGGUAGCCGGCCUGAGAGGGUGACCGGCCACACUGGGAUUGAGACACAGCACAGACUCCUACGGGAGGCAGCAGUGGGGAAUAUUGCACAAUGGGCGAAAGCCUGAUGCAGCAACGCCGCAUGAGGGAUGACGGCAUUCGGGUUGUAAACCUCUUUUAGCAGGGAAGAAGCGAAAGUGACAGUACCUGCAGAAAAAGCGCCGGCUAACUACGUGCCAGCAGCCGCCGUACCAC
rnacentral:rRNA from 1 species